rnacentral:rRNA from 1 species
CAUAGCCAUACGGUACUACAUAUGGUGUUUUCUGCUCAAUGAGACAUUAAAUAGCCGCAGUACACUGACUGUGCAAAGGUAGCGUAAUAAUUUGUCUUCUAAUUAAAGUCUUGUAUGAAUGAAUAUAUGGGGGCCUACUGUACCAAUAACAUAAGGUGAAAUUGCUCAAUGAGUGUAAAUACUCAUAACAAAAUAAUAGACGAGAAGACCCUAGAAAUUUGUAUAAAUGUUUUGUUGGGGCAACAGGGUAACAAUAAAUCUACUUGUGUAUAUGAAAUAAAUUAGGAAAAUUAAAUUACUCUAGGGAUAACAGCAUAAUCUAUGAAUGUUUGUGACCUCGAUGUUGGACUAGGAAGUUGAAGCUUAGAAGGUAAUCAACAAGCUCUGUUCGAGCUAUGUCCUACGUGAUC